GCGGUGCGUGUCCCGGAAGUGACGCACGGCCAAGGCCGGGCGGCCGCCCUGCCCCCGCUUCCUUUCACGCUGUCGCUGCCCGUAGGUGGUUGUGGCCACUGUGCCCAGAGGGAGGCGGCGGUGGCCAGUAAUGCCUGGGAAACUCCUCUGGGGGGACAUUAUGGAGCUGGAAGCACCCUUGGCGGAGUCCGAGAGCCAGAAGAAGGAGAGGCAAAAGACCUUAACACGUGAACGGAAAGAAGGAGCCUUCUCCAAUUUUCCUAUUUCUGAAGAGACUAGAAAGCUUCUGAAAGAUUUAGAUGAGCGUCCCCGGCGUUGGCGUUGGCGUCAUCGUCCUGGUCUCCGUCCGCCAGGCGCUCCCGCACCCUUGCUGACCCUGCCGCCCGCAGCCCUGGCGCUCCCUGCGGGCCCUGCCGAGGCUGUGCCAGCGCGCGCCCUGAGAGUCGGUGGGCGCCGACUGCGGCCACCGCUUCUGUUGGGCGUGCGUGGUGUGCUUCUGGGCCGAGGAGGAUGGGCCCUUCACGUGCCCCGAGUGCGCCAACGACUGCUGGCAGCACGCCGUGGAGCCUGGCCGGCUCCCGCGUAG
rnacentral:lncRNA from 1 species